rnacentral:snoRNA from 1 species
AAAACAUGGUGUGGACAGCUCCUCAAUAAAUCCUUGAAAUUUUCCCAGCAAUCGUAUAGAGUCUCAUUCUUUUGCUGAAGAAACCCUGCUAUGUCAUUCCUCAACUU